rnacentral:rRNA from 1 species
ACGCACGCUGGCGGCGUGCUUAACACCUGCAAGUCGCACGGAAAGGCCCUGCUUUUGUGGGGUGCUCGAGUGGCGAACGGGUGAGUAACACGUGAGUAACCUGCCCUUGACUUUGGGAUAACUUCAGGAAACUGGGGCUAAUACCGGAUAGGAGCUCCUGCUGCAUGGUGGGGGUUGGAAAGUUUCGGCGGUUGGGGAUGGACUCGCGGCUUAUCAGCUUGUUGGUGGGGUAGUGGCUUACCAAGGCUUUGACGGGUAGCCGGCCUGAGAGGGUGACCGGCCACAUUGGGACUGAGAGACGGCCCAGACUCCUACGGGAGGCAGCAGUGGGGAAUAUUGCACAAUGGGCGGAAGCCUGAUGCAGCAACGCCGCGUGCGGGAUGACGGCCUUCGGGUUGUAAACCGCUUUCGCCUGUGACGAAGCGUGAGUGACGGUAAUGGGUAAAGAAGCACCGGCUAACUACGUG